GGGUCAGUAGGUUGGUCGUGCCACCGGUACGUACUGGUCUCACUGAUUCCUCCUUCCUGAAGAACCGUAAUGCCAUUAAUUUGGUGUUGCGGGGAAGCAGGACUGUUACUUUGAAAAAAUUAGAGUGUUUAAAGCAAGCUAACGCUUGAAUACACUAGCAUGGAAUAAUGAAAUAGGACGAUCGAUCCUAUUUUGUUGGUUUCUAGGAUUGACGUA
rnacentral:rRNA from 1 species